GUUCGUGACACCCGUGUGUACCCAUCGGGCAGUCGCUGCUGCCAUCACAGUGCCCGGGCCGCUUUCUCCUGCUCCCCGGGAGCAGUGGCAGCAGGGAGCUCAGCGGGAGCUCAUCUGCCUGGCUGUCUGCGGGGUGGCUCUGCCUCCGCGCUGCUGCUGGUUUAAAACCGGCUUGGGCUGUGGGCAGAACUCGCAGUCUUUGUUGUGACUGCAGCGCAGACACAUAUUGUGUUUCUUUGCCUAAAAGAACAGAAGACAAAUGGGGGUUUGCUGCAAUCUGCAUUAAGAGGUUUAUUCACUGUAAGUGUUAAUGAUAACUGGAGAAAAAUAACGUGCCAGAGUGUGGUUGCAGCUUACGCUGUCAGAGAACACAUCUCAUCGCACCUCUGACCAACACAGCUGUGCUGUCAGAACAGGAUGGAGUUGGCCUUCGUAUGGAGAUGAAUGAAAAAAGAGGUAGCAACCGUUGGCAAACACAGGCAGCAGUGCUGAGUUCCUGCCUGAUCACGGCUGUGGCAUCGGCAGCUGAUGUCCCACUGACAAAGUUCUGCUCCUGUCACAAGAGCGUUUCACCUGCUCAGCUACUUGGGCAUUUCAGACUGCAGUCCCACAGAGUGCUUGUACCACCUGUGUGCUCCUUCGCUUGUGCAGUUUUAGCUUAGUACAGUGUUUCCCACAGAAGGAAGAUAACAAUGUGCUCGUUCUAUGCUAUAGUGCACAGAAGGAGGGUGGACUACAAUAUUAAUUUUUAGACUGCAACAGGAUUAGGUAUAGCUCUGUAGCUCUGCCAGCCAUAGAAGAGCCAAAAUCUGCCAAGACAUUCACUGUUGCCAUUCCAUUUCCCCCUUUCGUUUUUUAUAGGCUGAGUUGGAUUAAAGAAAAGCGAAAAUGAAUUGCUGGAAUAAUGUGCUGAGUCAACCCUCCUUACAAGUUUCUUUUGUAAUUGAAGACUCAAACUUAGCAACACGUUCCUUCUUAAGGUUUCCUUGUUGCUGUUGCUACUUCCAUGUCAUAGCACAAUUAACUGUAGAGACAGAAACAGAAAAGGCAGCAGAGGAGGCAAGAGCGCAUGGGCUGUGUGCAUCUCUGGGAGGAAACACCCUGAGGAAAAUAGCAGUAAUAAGUAGUAGGGGGCCACCACCUGCUGGAGGUCAAUAGGACUUUCACUUGGGACCCUCAGUUCAUGCAUGAUUUCAGAUUGCUUGAGAAACAAAUGGAAAUAUUCUUGCUACUCUGAUGGUUUGUAAAGAAUGCCAGUGCUCAACAUUAGCUCCAUCAUAUGGUCAGUCUACUUCUGCUGGCCCUGCUCAGGAACACAGACCUCCCCAAGGAGUUAGUCCAGAACAUAAGGAGCUGCUGCAGCUCUGCCACACAGAGUGGGUCAGUCCUCACAGACCUGACAAGGUGCUUGCAGGUGAAAGAGGGUUACUAACUGUGCCCCUGAGAUGAGUUUGUGGGCCUUAAUUGCCCAUGUAUGGGGGGUGCUGCUGCUAUCAGAAGGGGAAACUGAAGUUUGUGGUAAGCUGGUUUCCACAUCGGGAAGAGAAGCAGCACUGGAGCUGCUCCUUGCAACAGAUGGGAAGAGGCCUUUUUGCCUCUCCUCACCAUUGGAGAAGGCAAGCUGUCCUGUUCCCCUUGCCUAUGGGGGCUGACUGGCAGCUGAGCCUUGGGGCCACCAGACAGCAGGGAGGCUGCCAGUGCAGAGCAGCCUAUGACCCCUCUGCAGAAGAUGACAGAUUGACUGCCUAGCACUGAGCAUUAGGCAUCUUGUUGGCCUCUAAUUCCACUAGCAAUGCCUGUGGGGAGAUGCAAGUUGGGCUUUCUGUACUGCAUGCUUGUGCAGGGAAAUCUAGUCAUAAUGGGGGAGUAGUGUUCUGUAUUUAUAAAUAUGUAAUAAAUAUGAUAAAUACGUAUUUUACAUAUAAAGAUUAAUAUGUAUUUAUCUUUAGUUAUUUCCUUUUUGUUCCUGGAUUUUCUAAUCUUCUCCAUUUUAUCUCUGCUUUGUCCUAGACUAAAUGUUUAUCUUGCUUUUCAGUUGCUCCUGGAUUACGUAACAAUGUCUGUAUGGCAAAUCCUGAGUUUUCUUACAGUGGAGUCUUGGAGUGCAAAGAGUAUAGAGACAACUAAUUCAAAAAUGGUGAGGUCCAGAGUAGAAAAGCUAUGAAACAAGAGCAUGGGAACCUUUCCAGCCCAGUGGAAGGAGGCUCUCAACCAUCAAACAGUCGUGCUUUCUUACAGCAGUGUAUUCGUGGCUCACCCAAAUUUUCUCAUUUAAUACAACCACAAAUAUAUUUCCCAAAAGAGAAUACUCAAACUACAGAUGCUUUUGGAGUUUAGUGGUGUUUUUCCAUAUUAUUAUCCAUGGUGUGACAGCUUUACACUUCAUGUAUAAUGGAGCCAGUAGUGAAAGAUUCAGCAAUGUUGAAAGCUAGCUCAGCCCACCCCUUAUCAAUGGCCUGUGAGCUGGGAGGAAAGGUGUAUGUUCCUGACACACCUACAGUGACAAUUGCCAGCUGUCUCAAGGAGGUUCAGAUGCCAUCUUUAGGCUGUGGAAAGGAAAGCAAUCUGGUUGCCUGCAUAAUACAGAGCAAGAGUCAAACAACUGGGUAAUCCCAGGAGCAGGAGAAGUCCUUCAUCCUUAUAGCUGCUUCUGAUGUGAUCUAGGUUUUGGAUGGGAAAAAUUUAUUUCUCUUUUCUUUCUUUUUCCCUUCUCUUUUAUUUCUCUUUCCCUUCCCUUCCCUUCCCUUCCCUUCCCUUCCCUUCCCUUCCCUUCCCUUCCCUUCCCUUCCCUUCCCUUCCCUUCCCUUCCCUUCCCUUCCCUUCCCUUCCCUUCCCUUCCCUUCCCUUCCCUUCCCUUCCCUUCCCUUUCCUCUUCUUCUCUUCCCUUCCCUCUUCUUCUCUUCCUUUUUUCUUUUUAACCUUGAAGUACCACACUGUAAAUGGCUACAGAACCAAAAUCUGCAACAAGUGGUAUGCAUCUAAUUUUAUUAGUAAGACCUUUUCUGACGGUUACAGUAAAAGGACGUUGCCCUCUCAUGCACAUAUUUUAAAAGUCCUCUUGGUUUUUGAAUACUGCUGUAUAACUGUCGCUUCCCCCAUAUUUUUUCUGUUUCAUCAUCUCUGGUUGACAAUCAUUGUUUUGAUAUUUUCAUUGACUUGACAUUUCUCACAACAGCUAGAACAAAAGUGAUUUGCUUAAACUGUAGGAGGUGCCACGAAUUAAUAGCUAACUUUUCUUAUUGUGUUCCUGUGGGAAGACAAGCAAUCUUUUUUUCUGAGUAACAGUUCUACCUUGGAAUGUUUCAGAAACCUACCAGAGUGAGCAAGGACAGCCCUGGACACCUACAGCGUCUCAAUCAGAGGGUGACAGACGUUGCAACAGCAUACAGACCGUCUUCAGUAUGCUGCUGUCAGUCACUGGUGACUGAAGCUAUUCGUGGUCCAUAAUAAUGCACAGCUGCUCUGCAGGAGAAAUACCAAAGCUAAACAAACACUGCGCAGCACUAAUCAUCUAAUUUGGUUUUGGCAUUCUUAAAGUUCUGAUAAAUUCAUUUUAAAUAAGAGAGAUUGUUUUUCUUUCCAGUACAUUGAAGUGAUUUCAUGGGUUGUGUAACCUUCUUCCAAGCAAAUCAUACUUUCUGUGGACUUUUCCGAGACUGUUCGCUGAGACUUUCCUUCUUAUGAUGUUUACUGUUAACCGUUUGGAAGCGCAACAGAAAAUGAUGGGGGUUUAUUUCUCACUAUGAAGUACACUGUAAAUUUGAAAAAAUGAAAGCAGGGAACAGCUAAGGCAAUCUUUAAAGGCAGUAAGGUGUGACGCUCCAGACUGGCAGCUUGGCAAGAAAGAGCCCAUGGAUACCAGCACACAGGAAUCUGGAGGGUUCACUCUGACAGGCAGUCAGUACUGGGAACAAAAGGAAUUAAAAAAAAAGAGAGAGAGAGUAGCAAAUAUAUUUUUACAUAUUGCAGGCAUAUGGCCACAAGACCAGCAGAAAUAUAUUUAAUUACUGAUCUUAUGCGUUAAGCAGAAAUAAUGUACUAACAGCAAUAAUCUCCUUAUUUUUUCCCCUUAGAUUACAAAAAAGUAAAUGAAGGGAGUCCUCUAGAACGCAAUUUGAUAAUUGUGUUACAUUUCUGUUUCAUUUACACUUUUUACCCCAGUUUUACAACCAUUUGGAAAUAGAAUCUAGUCACUUGAUAUUAGACUAUCAGGAUCAUUUUAUCAUUAUUUUAUUUUUGGACAUGGGUGGACAUUUUAAAAUGAAACUCUGUCAUCUACCAACCUUUUUGUUAUUCCUGCAAGGCUUACAGCUAAUGUGAGAUGCAAAAGCAAGCUAUGUUGUAACUGAAUUGAUCUGUAAGUGAUUGUGUCUGAAUGUUAUGUACCAAGUUACAGCUUAAGUCUCACUGUGGUAUGAGUGUUUCAGGCUGCACAACAAGACUGUGCCACCUAUUCUCCUCAGAACCUACAAUCAAAUUAAAAAAUAUUCUCCUUGACUGCUGGCUAAAAGGUCCAUUGAUGAAAAAAG
ensembl:lncRNA